CCCUUAGAUGUUCUGGGCCGCACGCGUGCUACACUGAGUGGAUCAGCGGGUCGGGUUGCGCGAAAGUGUUUCCUAAUCUUGAAAUCCGCUCGUGAUGGGGAUUGACGGUUGCAAUUUUCCGUCAUGAACGAGGAAUACCUUGUAAGCGCGGGUCAUCAUCCCGCGCUGAAUACGUCCCUGCCCUUUGUACACACCGCCCGUCGCUCCUACCGAUUGAGUGGUCCGGUGAGGCUUUGGGAUCUGAGCGGAAAGAGCGUUUCGCUCGUUCUGCCCGGAAAACUCAGUCGAACCUUAUCAUUUAGAGGAAGGAGAAGUCGUAACA
rnacentral:rRNA from 1 species